rnacentral:rRNA from 1 species
AGCGAACGCUGGCGGCAGGCCUAACACAUGCAAGUCGAACGGACCCUUCGGGGGUAGUGGCGGACGGGUGAGUAACACGUGGGAACGUGCCUUUAGGGUCGGAAUAGCUCCUGGAAACGGGUGGUAAUGCCGAAUGUGCCCUUCGGGGGAAAGAUUUAUCGCCUUUAGAGCGGCCCGCGUCUGAUUAGCUAGUUGGUGAGGUAACGGCUCACCAAGGCGACGAUCAGUAGCUGGUCUGAGAGGAUGACCAGCCACACUGGGACUGAGACACGGCCCAGACUCCUACGGGAGGCAGCAGUGGGGAAUCUUGCGCAAUGGGCGAAAGCCUGACGCAGCCAUGCCGCGUGAAUGAUGAAGGUCUUAGGAUUGUAAAAUUCUUUCACCGGGGACGAUAAUGACGGUACCCGGAGAAGAAGCCCCGGCUAACUUCGUGCCAGCCGCCGCCGUAA